CCAGACUCCUACGGGAGGCAGCAGUGGGGAAUAUUGCACAAUGGGGGAAACCCUGAUGCAGCGACGCCGCGUGAGUGAAGAAGUAUUUCGGUAUGUAAAGCUCUAUCAGCAGGGAAGAAAUACUGACCAUAGGGUCAGCAGACAGUACUUGACUAAGAAGCCCCGGCUAACUACGUGCCAGCAGCCGCGGUAAUACGUAGGGGGCAAGCGUUAUCCGGAUUUACUGGGUGUAAAGGGAGCGUAGACGGCAGCGCAAGUCUGAAGUGAAAGCCCCGGGCUCAACCUGGGAACUGCUUUGGAAACUGUUAAACUAGAGUGCUGGAGAGGCAGGCGGAAUUCCUAGUGUAGCGGUGAAAUGCGUAGAUAUUAGGAGGAACACCAGUGGCGAAGGCGGCCUGCUGGACAGUAACUGACGUUGAGGCUCGAAAGCGUGGGAAGCAAACAGGAUUAGAUACCCCCGUAA
rnacentral:rRNA from 1 species